rnacentral:rRNA from 1 species
GACGAACGCUGGCGGCGUGCUUAACACAUGCAAGUCGAACGGUGAACCUCUUCGGAGGGGAUCAGUGGCGAACGGGUGAGUAACACGUGGGCAACCUGCCCCCGGCUCUGGGAUAACUCCAAGAAAUUGGGGCUAAUACCGUAUGUUCACCGCUUCCCGCAUGGGUGGUGGUGCAAAGGGUUUCCGGCUGGGGAUGGGCCCGCGGCCUAUCAGCUUGUUGGUGGGGUAGUGGCCUACCAAGGCGACGACGGGUAGCCGGCCUGAGAGGGUGACCGGCCACACUGGGACUGAGAAACGGCCCAGACUCCUACGGGAGGCAGCAGUGGGGAAUAUUGCGCAAUGGGCGGAAGCCUGACGCAGCGACGCCGCGUGGGGGAUGACGGCCUUCGGGUUGUAAACCUCUUUCAGCAGGGACGAAGCGCAAGUGACGGUACCUGCAGAAGAAGCACCGGCCAACUACGUG